CCUACGGGAGGCAGCAGUGGGGAAUAUUGCACAAUGGGGGAAACCCUGAUGCAGCGACGCCGCGUGAGUGAGGAAGUAUUUCGGUAUGUAAAGCUCUAUCAGCAGGGAAGAAAAUGACGGUACCUGACUAAGAAGCCCCGGCUAACUACGUGCCAGCAGCCGCGGUAAUACGUAGGGGGCAAGCGUUAUCCGGAUUUACUGGGUGUAAAGGGUGCGUAGGUGGCAGGGCAAGUCAGAUGUGAAAGCCCGGGGCCCAACCCCGGUACUGCAUUUGAAACUGUCCGGCUGGAGUGCAGGAGAGGUAA
rnacentral:rRNA from 1 species